GAAACGGUUUUAUAGGGUUCCGCAGCGAAAGCUGGCCUGGUCCGAGAUAAAACGGGUCGGACGAACAUACCGGCCUAACACGGAAGGACAAAAGCCUGGGAGAU
rnacentral:sRNA from 2 species